rnacentral:rRNA from 1 species
UACGUAGGGUGCGAGCGUUAAUCGGAAUUACUGGGCGUAAAGCGUGCGCAGGCGGUUCGUUGUGUCGGCGGUGAAAUCCCCGGGCUCAACCUGGGAAUGGCCGUUGAAACUGGCGAACUGGAGUGUGGCAGAGGGGGGUGGAAUUCCGCGUGUAGCAGUGAAAUGCGUAGAGAUGCGGAGGAACACCGAUGGCGAAGGCAGCCCCCUGGGCUGACACUGACGCCUCAGGCACGAAAGCGUGGGGAGCAAACAGG